rnacentral:lncRNA from 1 species
AACUUGAGGUGGGAGACUGGAAGGAUAAUAGGAGGUAAGGGAACCUCCCCAUAGAAGAAAACUUAUACACAUAAGUUUUGCCAAAGCAAUGAUAGUUUUCUUACUGAUAUCAUGGGUGAUCACAGUUAAAGAAAAACUUGUGAUAUUUCUGUUUUUUUAAAGUAAUAUAUGUCUCUGAAAUCUUUGUCAUUUUGCGGAAACCUUGUCAUAGCAGGGAUGUUUACUA